rnacentral:rRNA from 1 species
CACGUAGGGCGCAAGGCGUUGUCCGGAAUUAUUGGGCGUAAAGAGCUCGUAGGCGGUCUGCCACGUCCGCUGUGAAAACCUAGGGCUUAACCCUGGGCUUGCAGUAGAUACGGGCAGACUAGAGGUAGGUAGGGGAGAAUGGAAUUCCCGGUGUAGCGGUGAAAUGCGCAGAUAUCAGGAGGAACACCGAGUGGCGAAGGCAGGUCUCUGGGCCGAUACUGACGCUGAGGAGCGAAAGCGUGGGGAGCGAACAGG